UCCGGCUUGACACCGGCAGUCUCUCUAGAGUCCCCGGCUUGACCCGCUGGUAACUAGAGACAAGGGUUGCGCUCGUUAGAGGACUUAACCCGACGCUUCACAGCACGAGCUGACGACAGCCAUGCAGCACCUGUGCACGUUCCACUCUUGCGAGCGUCAUCGCCGUUUCCGGCGACUAAUCCGUGCAUGUCAAACCCUGGUAAGGUUCUUCGCGUUGCUUCGAAUUGAGCCACAUGCUCCACCGCUUGUGUGAGCCCCCGUCAAUUUCUUUGAGUUUUAGCCUUGCGACCGUACUCCCCAGGCGGUGUGCUUACCAAUUUCUCUACAAUCCAGACGACGUCAGAGCCGCCCGGAUUCAGCACACAUCGUUUAGGGCGCGGACUAC
rnacentral:misc_RNA from 1 species